UCCCUGGUAGCUCAGUUGGUAAAGCACCUGCCUGCAAUGCAGGAGACCCAGGUUCAAUCCCUGGGUUGGGAA